UGCCAAAUCUUCUCCUAACAUUGCACAAU
rnacentral:piRNA from 1 species